UACAGAGGUCCCAAGCGUUGUUCGGAUUCACUGGGCGUAAAGGGUGCGUAGGCGGUGAGGUAAGUUUGAUGUGAAAUCUCUGGGCUUAACCCAGAAAUGGCAUUGAAUACUAUCUCGCUUGAGAGUCGGAGGGGGGACUGGAAUACUUGGUGUAGCAGUGAAAUGCGUAGAUAUCAAGUGGAACACCAGUGGCGAAGGCGAGUCCCUGGACGACUUCUGACGCUGAGGCACGAAAGCUAGGGGAGCAAACAGG
rnacentral:rRNA from 1 species